CGUAUAUUAAAGUUGUUGCAGUUAAAAAGCUCGUAGUUGGAUUUGUGGAUGGUCUUGAGGUCCACGUUUUGCGUUGGUACUAUUGAGAUUGUCCAUCCUUGGGUGGAAUCUGUGUGGCAUUAGGUUGUCGUGCAGGGGAUGCCCAUCGUUUACUGUGAAAAAAUUAGAGUGUUCAAAGCAGGCUUAUGCCGCUGAAUAUAUUAGCAUGGAAUAAUGAGAUAGGACUUGGGUGCUAUUUUGUUGGUUUGCGCACCUUGGUAAUGAUUAAUAGGGACAGUUGGGGG
rnacentral:rRNA from 1 species